GGGGUUUGAUGGUAGUCAUUCAAGUAGAAUAUUUCGGUUUGGGUGGAAGUACACUUCGUCCGGACCCAAAAUGCGUUCAAAGGCAAGAAUUUAUCAAAAUUAUUGAUGAUUAUACACCUCAUUGUGUUUUUCUUCAAAUUGGAGGCAAUGAUUUAUCCGCUGAAUCAAAUCUCGCUAGAUUAGCAAGAGAUAUAAUAGUUUUUGCCGAUUAC
rnacentral:lncRNA from 1 species